AGUUACACAGGAAUCGUACCCGAAACCGACACAGGUGGUCAGGUCGAGUAGACCAAGGCGCUUGAGAGAACUCUGCUGAAGGAACUAGGCAAAAUGGUACCGUAACUUCGGGAGAAGGUACGCUGCUGAGGGUGAUGGGACUUGCUCCCUGAGCGCUUGGCAGCCGCAGAAACCAGGCCGCUGCAACUGUUUAUUAAAAACAUAGCACUCUGCAAACACGAAAGUGGACGUAUAGGGUGUGAUGCCUGCCCGGUGCUGGAAGGUUAAUUGAUGGGGUUAGCGUAAGCGAAGCUCUUGAUCGAAGCCCCAGUAAACGGCGGCCGUAACUAUAACGGUCCUAAGGUAGCGAAAUUCCUUGUCGGGUAAGUUCCGACCUGCACGAAUGGCAUAAUGAUGGCGGCGCUGUCUCCAGCAGAGGCUCAGUGAAAUCGAAAUCGCUGUGAAGAUGCAGUGUACCCGCGGCUAGACGGAAAGACCCCGUGAACCUUUACUGCAGCUUGACAUUGAACUUUGACCUUACUUGUGUAGGAUAGGUGGGAGGCUAUGAAGAUGUGACGCCAGUUACAUUGGAGCCAUCCUUGAAAUACCACCCUGGUAAUGUUGAGGUUCUAACUCUGCCCCGUAAUCCGGGGCGAGGACCAUGUCUGGUGGGUAGUUUGACUGGGGCGGUCUCCUCCUAAAGAGUAACGGAGGAGUACGAAGGUGCGCUCAGCGUGGUCGGAAAUCACGCGUAGAGUAUAAAGGCAAAAGCGCGCUUAACUGCGAGACCCACAAGUCGAGCAGGUACGAAAGUAGGUCUUAGUGAUCCGGUGGUUCUGUAUGGAAGGGCCAUCGCUCAACGGAUAAAAGGUACUCUGGGGAUAACAGGCUGAUACCGCCCAAGAGUUCAUAUCGACGGCGGUGUUUGGCACCUCGAUGUCGGCUCAUCUCAUCCUGGGGCUGAAGCAGGUCCCAAGGGUAUGGCUGUUCGCCAUUUAAAGAGGUACGCGAGCUGGGUUUAGAACGUCGUGAGACAGUUCGGUCCCUAUCUACCGUGGGCGCUGGAAAUUUGAGAGGAUCUGCUCCUAGUACGAGAGGACCAGAGUGGACGAACCUCUGGUGUACCGGUUGUGACGCCAGUCGCAUCGCCGGGUAGCUAUGUUCGGAAGGGAUAACCGCUGAAAGCAUCUAAGCGGGAAGCCUACCUCAAGAUAAGAUUUCCCUGUGACUAUAUGUCACCUAAAGAGCCGUUCAAGACUAGGACGUUGAUAGGUUGGAUGUGGAAGCAUAGUGAUAUGUGAAGCUGACCAAUACUAAUUGCUCGUGAGGCUUGACUAUACAACACCCAAACAGUUG
rnacentral:rRNA from 1 species